rnacentral:rRNA from 1 species
GUCUACAGCCAUACCACUCUAAAUGCACCCGAUCUCAUCUGAUCUCAGGAGCUAAGCAGGGUCAGGCCUGGUUAGUAUUUGGAUGAGAGAUAAUGUAAUACCAAAUUCUAUAUAAGUUUCUGCAGAUA